rnacentral:rRNA from 1 species
AUUGAACGCUAGCGGGAUGCCUUACACAUGCAAGUCGAACGGAGUUGCGAACGGGUGAGUAAUGUAUCGGAACGUGCCCAGUAGCGGGGGAUAACUACGCGAAAGCGUAGCUAAUACCGCAUACUCUUGGAGCGGCCGAUAUCGGAUUAGCUAGUUGGUGGGGUAAAGGCUCACCAAGGCGACGAUCCGUAGCCUGGUUGAGAGUACGACCAGCCACACUGGGCAUGAGACACGGCCCAGACUCCGACGGGAGGCAGCAGUGGGGAAUUUUGGACAAUGGGGGAAACCCCUGUCCAGCCAUCCCGCGUGUGCGAUGAAGGCCUUCGGGUUGUAAAUCAAUUUUGGCAUGAAAGCGGUACCUGCAGAAUAAGCACCGGAGAACUACGUGCCAGCCGCCGCGGUAAUUC